rnacentral:rRNA from 1 species
GAUGAACGCUGGCGGCGUGCCUAACACAUGCAAGUCGAACGGAGUCCAGCCUUAGAGACCUUCGGGUCAAAGAGGGGAAGACUGAGUGGCGGACGGGUGAGUAACACGUGGGCAACCUGGCUCAUAGAGGGGGAUAACAGAGAGAAAUUUCUGCUAAUACCGCAUAGCACACACUGCCGCAUGGCAGAGUGUGAAAAGAGAAUCGCUAUGAGAUGGACCCGCGUCUGAUUAGCCAGUUGGCAGGGUAAGAGCCUACCAAAGCGACGAUCAGUAGCCGAUCUGAGAGGAUGAACGGCCACAUUGGGACUGAGACACGGCCCAAACUCCUACGGGAGGCAGCAGUGGGGGAUAUUGCACAAUGGGGGGAACCCUGAUGCAGCGACGCCGCGUGAGUGAAGAAGUAUUUUGGUAUGUAAAGCUCUAUCAGCAGGGAAGAUAAUGACAUACCUGAAUAAGAGCC